rnacentral:rRNA from 1 species
CUCAAACUCUGGUUUAUAUCACUAUUUAAAAUAAUAUUAUAUAAGUAAAAGAAUUGAAUUUUAUCCACAAAAAAGUACUGAGAAGGAAAGUUUCGUUAAUUUUAAAGAAGUUAUUUAUUAUACCUUUUGUAUCAGGGUUUAUCUAAUUUUGACCAGUAUUGUCAAAUCCCGAAAUAAGGUGAUCUAUGUUAAUUAAAGAUGACUGUUUCAUAAUUCUCUUCAAGAUUAAUGUCGGUGUAAAAAAUAUUUCGUACCUUUAUAUCUGGUUGGCAUAAGACUCCUUUAGGGUACUCCACAAGGAAGAUUUUCUAGGGGACGAGCUCUAGAAAAAAUUACAUCAAACCACCGUCAGUGAUAUGAAUAGGCUUAAAAGUUGCCAGGGUGUAAUAACCAGGCUCACUUAGAUAAUAAUUUAAAGUUGAUUAAUUCAACCUAGCCAGUGCUGGUUAUUAAUAUCCAGCAGUUAUAAUGAUAAAAUUAGUAUAAGUAUAAAAAUAUAAUAGAAUUUAUUCUAAAAAUUCUGGAAGGAAUUCGGCAAAACUCGCUUCCGCCUGUU